UUUUUCUCCAACAGGAAAACACAGGAAAGAGAAUGAAGACAAAGGUGUGAACAGUUCAAAUGACAGGCUAUGGAAUGAGUCAUUUGGGCUUCGGGAAAUUAUCAAACGCUCCACAUGAAAAUCAAAAACGUAUGCCAGGACAUGAGGGUUCAACACCACGUUACCAAGGCUUUGGGCGGUGUUUCUGCACUUAGGAGAUGUGUGGAAGGAGCAACAGCAGAUUUCCAGCUGCAGACGCCCCAGCGCCUCAGGGGGAGCCCGUCUUCCAGAGUCACCGCAACUGCCACAGGGGACUUGUAGGCCAUGUCAAAGGAACAAAGCAUGUCACAUUUUGGACAUGUGGCAUCCUUUGAAUUGCACAGGGGAAGACAACUGGCUCCAAGACUGAAGGCAUCGCCUUAGAAACACAAAAGUGAGAAGUCAACCACACUCAAAAAUCAAUCUUUCCACAAUUGGGUCCUCAUUUUUGACAAAAAUAUAUUCCACUGCAAUUUAAAUAAAGGCAACCAAUACUAUUUCAUUCCAUUUUGUUCAGCAUUUUCAUAGUAUCCUAAACGCUCCAGGAGUUCCACUGAAGAAAAGCAUUUUUUUUUUUUUUUAAUUUAAGAAGAGCCAG
rnacentral:lncRNA from 1 species